GACGAACGCUGGCGGCGUGCCUAAUACAUGCAAGUCGAGCGAAGUUUUUCUGGUGCUUGCACUGGAAAAAACUUAGCGGCGAACGGGUGAGUAACACGUAAAGAACCUGCCUCAUAGACUGGGACAACUAUUGGAAACGAUAGCUAAUACCGGAUAACAGCAUUAACUGCAUGGUUGAUGUUUGAAAGUUGGUUUUGCUAACACUAUGAGAUGGCUUUGCGGUGCAUUAGCUAGUUGGUGGGGUAAAGGCCUACCAAGGCGACGAUGCAUAGCCGACCUGAGAGGGUGAUCGGCCACACUGGGACUGAGACACGGCCCAGACUCCUACGGGAGGCAGCAGUAGGGAAUCUUCCGCAAUGGGCGAAAGCCUGACGGAGCAACGCCGCGUGAGUGAAGAAGGAUUUCGGUUCGUAAAGCUCUGUUGUUAGGGAAGAAUGAUUGUGUAGUAACUAUACACA
rnacentral:rRNA from 1 species